rnacentral:rRNA from 1 species
CUCGUAGGCUGCCAACUAAGUCAGACGUGAAAUCCCUCGGCUUAACCGGGGAACUGCGUCUGAUACUGGAUGGCUUGAGAUCGGGAGAGGGAUGCGGAAUUCCAGGUGUAGCGGUGAAAUGCGUAGAUAUCUGGAGGAACACCGGUGGCGAAGGCGGCAUCCUGGACCGACACUGACGCUGAGGAGCGAAAGCCAGGGAGCAAC